rnacentral:lncRNA from 1 species
GGGCCUUGCAAAUAUUACCAUUGUCAGACACAUCUAACAAAAAUAUAUUCUUAUCAUUCCUUUAUCUUUGCUUUUUUUUUCCCCCCUCAAGAUUCCAUCUUGGAAAUUAAAUUAACCGAGCCCAGCUAGCAAGUCAACUCUUANAUCUAACAAAAAUAUAUUCUUAUCAUUCCUUUAUCUUUGCUUUUUUUUUCCCCCUCAAGAUUCCAUCUUGGAAAUUAAAUUAACCGAGCCCAGCUAGCAAGCCAACUCUUGCUGCCAGGCAUUGAGAAGAGGAUCUGGCCCUUGACAGUUUCUAUAGUGGGAAGCAGAACCCUGUUGACCCACAGGACCAUACAAGGAGAUGGAUUUUCAACAACUACUCCACAUCCCACCAUGGUUUGUGAUUACAUUCUAUUAGACGUGAUGAAGCAUCUUCAGAGAAGAGAGCCAUCAUAAUGAAGUGAGUUUAAAAACAAAUUCCCACGAGAUCUGACAAUUAUCUCAUGGAGUAGAGAUUAUCUGCCUACAGUAAGAGGAUUUAUUUCAUUCAUUACUGUUCUUAUAAUAAUAGCUUGUAGCAUGGUAUAAAAAGGAGGGGGAAGCACACAGUCUCAGGAGAACAGAGAUACCACUUCAGUUCUGUGUAGAAAAUCAGCCACAGAAGUCGAAACAAUCAUACUCUGGAAAAGAACUUGAUCAACUUUCAGUUAUCUUUCACAGUUCACACUUAUACAAUUAAACAGAAUAAGCUAAUUGUUAAUAUUGUUCAGCAACUCUGGAUUUCAUUCCCACAUGCAGUUUACACAUCAGCAGGAUGUGUUUAAACCCAAGUACUUCAUUACCCUCCCCAAACGAGGAACAUAGUGGUGAGGAAACCCACUGAGAAAUGAGAGCAAGAGAGUGAGAGAGAAAGAGAGAAUGGGGAAGACUGCCAUUCUCUCACACUAGUCAUGAGGAAGAAAUAGGUGUGAUUUAGCUGUUCCACAUGGGGUAGGAAGCCAGGGACAACUUUCAGCAGAAGGCAGGAGGACAAGUCUGGGAGUGGGACCUCAUCAUUUUGUUGAAAUGGCGUUUCUAAGAUCUCAUAUUUGUAUGUAUGUUAAAGUGCAACACAGCACUCCCAAGCCAACCGUAACUGUAUCUUGUACGCUGUAGCACUUCAAAUACACCAAUACGGA